GAGAUGAUAACGGCUGACUGCCACUGAUAAUUUUAAAUGGCCGCAGUAUACUAACUGUGCAAAGGUAGCAUAAUCAUUAGUCUUUUAAUUGAAGGCUGGAAUGAAUGGUUGGACGAAAUAUAAGCUGUUUCAAUUAAAUUUAAAAUAAAACUUUAUUUUUUAGUAAAAAAGCUAAAAUUUAAUUAAAAGACGAGAAGACCCUAUAAAUCUUUAUAUUUAAAUUAUUUUAAUUUUUAAGAUUAAUUUUAUUAUAAUUAUUUUAAAUAUUUUAUUGGGGUGAUAUUAAAAUUUAAUAAACUUUUAAUUUAUAAAAUCAUUAAUUUAUGAAUAAUUGAUCCAAUAAUAUUGAUUAAAAAUUUAAGUUACUUUAGGGAUAACAGCGUAAUUUUUUUGGAGAGUUCAUAUCGAUAAAAAAGAUUGCGACCUCGAUGUUGGAUUAAGAGAUAAAUUUGGGCGUAGCUGUUCAAAAGUUUAAGUCUGUUCGACUUUUAAAUUCUUACGUGAUCUGAGUUCAAAACCGGAGGUUAAAAGU
rnacentral:rRNA from 1 species